GUUUCCCCUGGAACAAUUGGAGGCAGUGGAGGCAUUUGAACAGUUUUUAAAAGAACCGUCAAAUGGCCCAGCUCGACAGAGAGUGAUUUCUUCUUUGGCCAACAUUGGAGGCCAGGAUGUGAAGCGGGUGACCUGGAACAUCCUGGGCAGGCUGUUCACUGAUGAGGUCUCCCAUCAGAUCAAUUGGAAGGGUGUCCACAACAAAAAGCCUUUUAGCAGGAUGGCAACAAAGACCUUGCUUUUCAGUGCUGUGAGGAAAAACGUGGUGACACGGUCAGCCACGGACGCGGAGGUCACCAAACACGCCAUCAGGUGGUUCAACCUGGCGGCGGAUCGGGCGGCGAGGAGA